rnacentral:rRNA from 1 species
UCGAGCGGUAGCACAGGAGAGCUUGCUCUCUGGGUGACGAGCGGCGGACGGGUGAGUAAUGUCUGGGAAACUGCCUGAUGGAGGGGGAUAACUACUGGAAACGGUAGCUAAUACCGCAUAACGUCUACGGACCAAAGUGGGGGACCUUCGGGCCUCACGCCAUCAGAUGUGCCCAGAUGGGAUUAGCUAGUAGGUGGGGUAAUGGCUCACCUAGGCGACGAUCCCUAGCUGGUCUGAGAGGAUGACCAGCCACACUGGAACUGAGACACGGUCCAGACUCCUACGGGAGGCAGCAGUGGGGAAUAUUGCACAAUGGGCGCAAGCCUGAUGCAGCCAUGCCGCGUGUGUGAAGAAGGCCUUAGGGUUGUAAAGCACUUUCAGCGAGGAGGAAGGGUUCAGUGUUAAUAGCACUGUGCAUUGACGUUACUCGCAGAAGAAGCACCGGCUAACUCCGUGCCAGCAGCCGCGGUAAUACGGAGGGUGCAAGCGUUAAUCGGAAUUACUGGGCGUAAAGCGCACGCAGGCGGUUUGUUAAGUCAGAUGUGAAAUCCCCGCGCUUAACGUGGGAACUGCAUUUGAAACUGGCAAGCUAGAGUCUUGUA